GUGCUCUCUUUGGCAGCACAUAUACUACAAUUGGAACAAUACAGAGAAGAUUAGCAUGGCCCCUGACAAGGAUGACACACAAAUUUGUGAAGCAUUCCAUGUAUUU
ensembl:snRNA U6 U6 spliceosomal RNA